UAGGGAAUAUUGCACAAUGGGCGAAAGCCUGAUGCAGCAACGCCGCGUGCGCGAUGAAGGCCUUCGGGUCGUAAAGCGCUUUUCGGGGAGAUGAGGAAGGACAGUAUCCCCGGAAUAAGGCUCGGCUAACUACGUGCCAGCAGCCGCGGUAACACGUAGGAGCCUAGCGUUAUCCGAAUUUACUGGGCGUAAAGCGCGUGCAGGCGGUUCGGUAAGUUGGGUGUGAAAUCUCCUGGCUCAACUGGGAGAGGUCGCUCAAUACUGCCGAGCUAGAGGAUGGUAGAGGGAGGUGGAAUUCCGGGUGUAGUGGUGAAAUGCGUAGAUAUCCGGAGGAAUACCAGUGGCGAAGGCGGCCUCCUGGCCCACUCCUGACGCUCAGACGCGAAAGCUAGGGGAGCGAACGGGAUUAGAAACCCCGGUAGUCCUAGCAGUAAACGAUGUAGACUUGGCGUUGGUGGGGUAAAAUCCAUCAGUGCCGGAGCUAACGCGGUAAGUCUA
rnacentral:rRNA from 1 species